rnacentral:rRNA from 1 species
GAAGGGUGCAAACGGUUGCUCGGAAUUAUUGGGCGUAAAGCGCACGUAGGCGGCUUUUCAAGUCGGAUGUGAAAUCCCUCGGCUUAACCAAGGAAGUGCAUCCGAAACUGGAGAGCUUGAGUACUUAAGAGGAUCGCGGAAUUCCCGGUGUAGAGGUGAAAUUCGUAGAUAUCGGGAGGAACACCAGUGGCGAAGGCGGCGAUCUGGGAAGAUACUGACGCUGAGGUGCGAAAGCGUGGGGAAGCAAACAGGAUUAGAUACCCUGGUAGUCCACGCCGUAAACGAUGAGUGCUAGAUGCUGUGGGGUAUUGACCCCCGCGGUGUCGCAGCCAACGCGUUAAGCACUCCGCCUGGGGAGUACGGCCGCAAGGCUA